AACGAACGCUGGCGGCAUGCCUAACACAUGCAAGUCGAACGAGACCUUCGGGUCUAGUGGCGCACGGGUGCGUAACGCGUGGGAACCUGCCCUUAGGUUCGGAAUAACUCCCCGAAAGGGGUGCUAAUACCGGAUAAUGUCUUCGGACCAAAGAUUUAUCGCCUUUGGAUGGGCCCGCGUUGGAUUAGCUAGUUGGUAGGGUAAAAGCCUACCAAGGCGACGAUCCAUAGCUGGUCUGAGAGGAUGAUCAGCCACACUGGGACUGAGACACGGCCCAGACUCCUACGGGAGGCAGCAGGGGGGAAUAUUGGACAAUGGGCGAAAGCCUGAUCCAGCAAGGCCGCGUGAGUGAUGAAGGCCUUAGGGUUGUAAAGCUCUUUUACCCGGGAUGAUAAUGACAGUACCGGGAGAAUAAGCUCCGGCGAACUCCGU
rnacentral:rRNA from 1 species